GCAAGCGAUAAUCGGCUAAGGUAAUGAGGCCGGGGAGGCUGGUAGCUUGAUCAGCCGAGGGUCAAUGCAUCAGUUCCGUCCCCCCAAGAGAAAGAAGCCGGAGGCUGCGAGGGGAGUUGGUUUCGCCCCAUGUAUGGAACACGAGAAGGGCCAAACAACCACGCCACUGCCGUUCCUUUACAUAAAUGAAUAAAUACGGUUUCCUCCGGCGCAGCACAGGGUUUGGAUUGCGCAGGCGCAGUCAGACUUUAAUCUGCGCGGGGCUCUCACUUUGUUAGGUGAGUCUGCACUGCUUUCUGGCCACAGGUGUAGUGGAGGUCCGUUCUCUCUCUCUCUUCUUUCUUUUGAGAGAAGCCUUUUUCAGAAUGGGUUAAAAAAAUUGCUAUAUCUACAGAGGAAAACAAUAGUCCGGCUAAUGCUGCUGCGGUUCCUCGAUUUACUAUAUCUCGCCUUUCCCUCAGAAGCUUCACACCCGCCUUCGGGCUUCUCUGACAGCAGCCCCUUCAGAGGCAGAAGAGAUUAAGAAGAGGUGGCAAAACUACACAGAAGGACUGUGUAGAACGAGC